UCCAGGCUCCGGCCACGGCGCAGCCGCGCUCCCUGGAGACCGGUGUAUAAAUCUAAGCGGAGCGCUGGCAGGCGGUACGGGAAAACUGCCUACGGUGCGCGUCCCUGGAUCAGGAAGUGCCAAAGGGGCGGAGAGGAGGCGUUGGUGGAGCUCGGGCAGGUGGAGACCGAGCGCGGGACCGGGCGGGGUGUCAUUUCCCAAGGCCGAGGGGAAGGUGGCCGUCACCUUCCUAGCUUCUCAAUGUUUUUCAAAACUGGCGAGAUGAACUUCAGCGGGAGCCCCCUACGGUGAUUUCUUAGAAGCCACAGAAGUCUUCUUUGAAGAGCUGUGUACCCUCUUGAAGGAUGGCAGAAGCCGUGUUGAUUGAUUUCUUUGGUUUGAAAUUUAACUCGCAGAAAAACAGUCACCAGGCACUACUGAAGACAUUGAAUGCUGUCCGAUACCACCAUGCUGCCAAAGCCAAAUUUCUUUGCAUAAUGUGUUGUAAUAGCAUCAGCUGUGAAAAGGAUGGGACACAUAACUUUGAAUUAGAAGCGAGCAAUGGAUUAUCAGUUUUCUUGAGAGAAUUUGAGACUGUCAGCAAUCCCAGUAUGGCUGCCUCUUUGUAUACCAUUAAACAAAAAAUUGAUGAAAAAAAUUUGAGCAACAUUAAGGUAAUUGUACCCAGGCACCGGAAGACGUUACUGGAAACUUUUAUCAAUCAACUUUUCACCAAUGUCUACAAUUUUGAGUUUGAAGAUUUACAGAUGACUUCGAAGGGAGGUCUCUUGAAUCAGUCCACUGAAAUAAACAUGAUCACAGAUCAAGAACAAGAAGCAAUCCAGAAUGAAAUAAAAACAUAUUUGAGAAGUCUGCCAGCCCUGAAAGGAGAACUAACCAUUAUCACAUCUCCUUUAAUAUCAGAUAUUUUCUUGCAUGGAUUUACUACAAGAACAGGUGGAAUUUCUUACAUACCGACUCUUAGCUCCUUCAAUCUCUUCAGUAGUUCCAAACGGAGAGAUCCCAAGGUGGUUGUUCAAGAAAAUCUGCGUAGGUUGGGGAAUGCUGCAGGAUUUAAUGUGGAGAAAUUUUACCAAAUAAAGACUGAUCAUGCCAAUGACGUCUGGAUUAUGGGAAGGAAGGAGCCUGAAUCUUAUGAUGGAAUCACCACAAAUCAGAGGGGAGUCACAAUAGCAGCCCUUGGCGCUGACUGUAUACCAAUAGUUUUCGCUGAUCCUGUCAAAAAAGCAUGUGGGGUUGCUCACUCUGGUUGGAGAGGUACUUUGUUAGGUGUUGCUAUGGCUACAGUGCAUGCUCUGAUCACAGAAUAUGGCUGUAGUUUGGAAGACAUUAUUGUUGUACUGGGACCUUCAGUAGGACCCUGCUGUUUUACUCUGCCAAAGGAAUCAGCAAAGGAAUUUCAUAAUCUUGAUCCUGAAUGUGUUCGGUUAUUUGAUUCACCAGAUCCCUAUGUUGACAUUCGUAAAGCCACUAGGAUUCUUCUAGAACGGGGAGGAAUUCUACCACAGAAUAUUCAGGACCUGAACCAAGAUCUCAACAUCUGUACAUCCUGCCAUCCUGACAAGUUUUUCUCCCAUGUCCGAGAUGGCCUUAAUUUUGGUACACAGAUUGGCUUCAUAUCAAUUAGAGAAUGAGAUAACUUGACUGGAUUUUUACACAACUGUUUCCUGGCUCCUUCUAAACCAACUACAAGAGAGAAAUUUAGCUGUUUGAUUUACUUAAAGCCAAAAGGAUUAUAAUGGAUGAUUCAUCUUUAGCAUUUAAAAAAUUAAAAGAAAAAAAGAAGUUGACUAUGCAUAAAUAAGGCCUGAGUCCACUGGAGUAGACUGAAUCAUCUAUGUAGAACUACAGGAUAAGAAAAAAGGACGUUUGAGGGUGAAAUCUCAUACAACACCUGUGUUUGAAGAACAAGAAGCUGAAUCAAUAAUAAUAAAAAAAAAGAUUAAUCAUUAGAAAUAAGGGAAAAAGCCCAGAAUAUUCCUAUUUUGAAGAAAGAAGCCAGCAUGGAUGUGAGAGGUACUCAGAAUUUUCAGAGAUACAACGUACAAGAAAUUUUCAGAGAUGGAAUAAAAUGAGGACUGAGAAGAAGCCAGUGGAUUAACCAUACUGAAGCUGUUCUGUAGGCAGUGGUGGCGGAGACGGAUUUCAGGGCACUGAGGAAGAGGAUGCAUAGGUGACCAUUCUUCUCUGAUAGUAUUGACUACAGAAGCUAAAGCACUGGGGGCUGUGUCUCAAAGGAAGGGGUAUUUUUUUUCUUUUGAUCAGGAGAUUUAAAUAUAUUUGUAGGCUGAAGAGAGGAGUCAAGCUAUUUUCACUUGGGAAAAAUGGUAUAUAUGGCAUGUAUUUUUAAUGUGAGUAGUCACAUUGCAUCUUAAAAUUUUUUAUUCUACUCAUAUGUUUCUUAUAUGAACAGGUAGUAGAAUGGUGGAAAAUUACAUUUGUUGGGUACAUACAUUACUUCAUUUUAUCUUUACAGCUAUUCUGAAAUACAUAGGCCAAUUGUUACUCUUUUUAUUCAGAUGCGAAAAUGAAGUCUCACUGAGGUAGAGUUUAAAAUCAUAUGAUUUGUGAUAAAGUAGAAUUUGAACCCACAUCUUGUGACUUCAAAUCUCAUUUCUGAUUUUACAGUUAAUCAAAACUAUCUAAGUUAAAUUUUUAUUUUCAACUUUUUGUUAAUAUCAUCCAUUCAUGCAUUCAGUCAAAAUUUUGUUGAGAUACUAGGAUAGGUUAAAAAAAAUACAGUUUUAGCCUUUGGGAGGUUUAAUCUAUAGUGAAAGAUGGCAAUCAAUAAACCAGCAAUUGCAAGACUGUGAUAUGUGUCGUAAAGUUGUCACAACCUGAUACCUUGUUCAGUUGAAUUCUUUUAUGCAACUCAUAGGUCAGUAUAAAAUUUAAAUACCUCAUUUCUUCCAGUUCAGGGAAGGCAUUAAACACAAAGCAUAGGACAACAAUUUCAAACUCAGGCAAAAUACUUUUAUUUAAUGUAAACAAUAAAGAUUAAGAAUUUCACACAUUAAGAAAGGUUGAUAAUUUUCCAAUUCUUCACUAUGCAUUAUUUUGUUUGAAGCUUACAAAUUUACAAGAGUAUUAGGUGGCCAUAUUUCACGUUGUGUACCAAAAUAUUCUAAAACAAAAUAAAAUUAUAUUUGAUUAUGA